rfam:Gossypium arboreum cultivar AKA8401 contig_6121_1, whole genome shotgun sequence.
UGUUAAAAAUUUCAUCCAUUUUACUGUUAAAAACUGGUAUGGUUGACGAGUGUCACACAAUUACACAUGGCAUGCCAUGUGUAUCUCAUUCUAACGCAUAGAACCAGUUUUUAGUAAUAGAAAUGGAUAGAAUUUUUAACA